rnacentral:lncRNA from 1 species
UCCCACUACAGCCACGACAGUUGAGCGGGUACUGGCCGCAGCAGCAACAGCAGUGCAGAAUCCAGAUCCUCAUUACACUCCUCCUUCUGUCUUAUUGUCAAACCAGCCUUUGCUUUCCAACAGAGAUUCAGAAGAGGAACCACCAACAGUCUCCAAGCCACUGGACGUAAAGAGCAGGGAGCAAUUUCCACCGCUACCCAGGCCCAGUAGGAACUUACAAACUCUCUGUCUGGGCAAUAGGCCCACUCUGCAGCAGCAGGUGAUGGCAGCUCCACAAACUCAAAUCCAGAAUCAGCCACAAGCUGAAUCAGCCACCACAAGCACGGACACACGGUCUAACCAGACCCACUAUGUGCUGCAACAAACCUCCAAACUGACCAGGAGGAAUUUCAAGUCUCAUAAUAGCUCAGCUUUAAAGACUCUCUCCCCUUUAAAGGUGCUGGAGUCUGCUCCCUGCUCUCGACUUCCUCCUCGCCAUCACCGUCCUCCUCCACUUGCUGCCUCCUCCCCUUCGCCUGUCACCAACCUUUCUCCACAGGGCCCUGAUCAGGACCAGUUUUCAAUAUCCCAGCUGACCCUUCACUUUUCAUUAGACUCUCCUCCGGCACCGAGUGUAAUUAAUGAUCCUUCCUUUACAGAACAGACGCCAUAUCACCCCAUUAAGUCCAGUGUCUGUGAUCCCGGAGGGGAAAUUUACCAACCACAGGCAACGAAUCGUAAACAGGGCUUACAGGUCACUCAGCCGUGCCAUCCGCCCCCCUGCCAGGGAGCCAGCCGCCCAGACACCUUGAUCGGUCCAGGCUAAAAUUAAAAAACAAAGAGGUGGGAGGAAAAAGGACGAGAAAAUGGAAAAACAUCCAAGUUGAACAAACUGGACAAAUCCACUCUGAUACCUCCAAAAACACCUCGGUAGCAGUGCGGCUGGAGUCCUCACGGCAGGGGCAUUUUGGGCGGGCUGAGGACGAGGAAUGGGAGGAUUUUACGUCAGGCAGUGAGAGAGAACAGAACCGUACCUUAUUGUUUUUUCCCACCAGCCACAAGGCCCGGCCUUCACGCAAGCUGGAGGACUGGCACAUUAGGGGUAAAAAACCUGUACUGAUAUUGGGGGACUCGAACCUUAACAGGAUCCUUGAGUUUAUGCACCCAGAGGUACAAAUCGACAGCUACCCUGGUGCCAAUUUCUACCACUUUUGGAAAGUGGUAAAGAAAACUCCAGCACACCCCUCUGUCAAGGUUGUGGUCUUCUCAGUGGGACUCAAUAAUAGGGACCAGGACCCUCAGAAAACAUCAAUAAAACAACUUAGGGCGUUGUAUAGGGCA